rnacentral:tRNA from 1 species
GCCUGGGUGGUUCAAUUGGUUAAGUGUCUGACUUUGGCUCAGGUCAUGAUCUCACAGUUCAUGGGUUCGAGCCCCAUGUCAGGCU